GAAUGCACUAACUGUAAGGCGCUCUGGAUAAGAGCAUCUGCUAAAUGACUAAAA
rfam:Salmo salar isolate Sally breed double haploid chromosome ssa01, whole genome shotgun sequence.